rnacentral:rRNA from 1 species
AUAGCAUAUCAUAAGCGGAGGAAAAGAAACCAACAGGGAUUACCUCAGUAACGGCGAGUGAAGCGGUAACAGCUCAAAUUUGAAAUCUGGCCUCACGGUCCGAGUUGUAAUUUGUAGAGGAUGCUUCGAGCAUGGUCUGGCCUAAGUUCCUUGGAACAGGACGUCAUAGAGGGUGAGAAUCCCGUAUGCGGCCAGGUGCCUACGCUCAUGUGAAGCUCCUUCGACGAGUCGAGUUGUUUGGGAAUGCAGCUCAAAAUGGGUGGUAAAUUUCAUCUAAAGCUAAAUAUUGGCCAGAGACCGAUAGCGCACAAGUAGAGUGAUCGAAAGAUGAAAAGCACUUUGGAAAGAGAGUUAAACAGUACGUGAAAUUGUUGAAAGGGAAGCGCUUGCAACCAGACUUGCGCGCGGCCGAUCAUCCGGUGUUCUCACCGGUGCACUCGGCCGUGCUCAGGCCAGCAUCGGUUUUGGCGGCUGGAUAAAGGCCCUAGGAAUGUGGCUCCUCUCGGGGAGUGUUAUAGCCUAGGGUGCAAUGCAGCCUGCUGGGACCGAGGACCGCGCUUCGGCUAGGAUGCUGGCGUAAUGGUUGUAAGCGGCCCGUCUUGAAACACGGACCAAGGAGUCUAACAUCUAUGCGAGUGUUUGGGUGUCAAACCCAUACGCGUAAUGAAAGUGAACGGAGGUGAGAACCCUUAAGGGUGCAUCAUCGACCGGUCCUGAAGUUUACGGAAGGAUCUGAGUAAGAGCAUAGCUGUUGGGACCCGAAAGAUGGUGAACUAUGCCUGAAUAGGGUGAAGCCAGAGGAAACUCUGGUGGAGGCUCGCAGCGGUUCUGACGUGCAAAUCGAUCGUCAAAUUUGGGUAUAGGGGCGAAAGACUAAUCGAACCAUCUAGUAGCUGGUUCCUGCCGAUU